GGUUAAGCGACUAAGCGUACACGGUGGAUGCCCUGGCAGUCAGAGGCGAUGAAGGACGUGCUAAUCUGCGAAAAGCGUCGGUAAGGUGAUAUGAACCGUUAUAACCGGCGAUGUCCGAAUGGGGAAACCCAGUGCAAUUCGUUGCACUAUCGUUAACUGAAUACAUAGGUUAACGAGGCGAACCGGGGGAACUGAAACAUCUAAGUACCCCGAGGAAAAGAAAUCAACCGAGAUUCCCCCAGUAGCGGCGAGCGAACGGGGAGCAGCCCAGAGUCUGAAUCAGCUUGUGUGUUAGUGGAACGGUCUGGAAAGUCCGACGGUACAGGGUGAUAGUCCCGUACACCAAAAUGCACAGGCUGUGAACUCGAAGAGUAGGGCGGGACACGUGGUAUCCUGUCUGAAUAUGGGGGGACCAUCCUCCAAGGCUAAAUACUCCUGACUGACCGAUAGUGAACCAGUACCGUGAGGGAAAGGCGAAAAGAACCCCGGCGAGGGGAGUGAAAAAGAACCUGAAACCGUGUACGUACAAGCAGUGGGAGCACCUUUAUGGUGUGACUGCGUACCUUUUGUAUAAUGGGUCAGCGACUUAUAUUCUGUAGCAAGGUUAACCGUAUAGGGGAGCCGCAGGGAAACCGAGUCUUAACUGGGCGUUAAGUUGCAGGGUAUAGACCCGAAACCCGGUGAUCUAGCCAUGGGCAGGUUGAAGGUUGGGUAACACUAACUGGAGGACCGAACCGACUAAUGUUGAAAAAUUAGCGGAUGACUUGUGGCUGGGGGUGAAAGGCCAAUCAAACCGGGAGAUAGCUGGUUCUCCCCGAAAGCUAUUUAGGUAGCGCCUCGUGAACUCAUCUUCGGGGGUAGAGCACUGUUUCGGCUAGGGGGUCAUCCCGACUUACCAACCCGAUGCAAACUACGAAUACCGAAGAAUGUUAUCACGGGAGACACACGGCGGGUGCUAACGUCCGUCGUGAAGAGGGAAACAACCCAGACCGCCAGCUAAGGUCCCAAAGUCAUGGUUAAGUGGGAAACGAUGUGGGAAGGCACAGACAGCCAGGAUGUUGGCUUAGAAGCAGCCAUCAUUUAAAGAAAGCGUAAUAGCUCACUGGUCGAGUCGGCCUGCGCGGAAGAUGUAACGGGGCUAAACCAUGCACCGAAGCUGCGGCAGCGACACUAUGUGUUGUUGGGUAGGGGAGCGUUCUGUAAGCCUGCGAAGGUGGCCUGUGAGGGUUGCUGGAGGUAUCAGAAGUGCGAAUGCUGACAUAAGUAACGAUAAAGCGGGUGAAAAGCCCGCUCGCCGGAAGACCAAGGGUUCCUGUCCAACGUUAAUCGGGGCAGGGUGAGUCGACCCCUAAGGCGAGGCCGAAAGGCGUAGUCGAUGGGAAACAGGUUAAUAUUCCUGUACUUGGUGUUACUGCGAAGGGGGGACGGAGAAGGCUAUGUUAGCCGGGCGACGGUUGUCCCGGUUUAAGCAUGUAGGCUGGUUAUCCAGGCAAAUCCGGAUAAUCAAGGCUGAGGUGUGAUGACGAGGCACUACGGUGCUGAAGUAACAAAUGCCCUGCUUCCAGGAAAAGCCUCUAAGCAUCAGGUAACAUCAAAUCGUACCCCAAACCGACACAGGUGGUCAGGUAGAGAAUACCAAGGCGCUUGAGAGAACUCGGGUGAAGGAACUAGGCAAAAUGGUGCCGUAACUUCGGGAGAAGGCACGCUGGUGUGUAGGUGAAGUCCCUGCGGAUGGAGCUGAGACCAGUCGAAGAUACCAGCUGGCUGCAACUGUUUAUUAAAAACACAGCACUGUGCAAACACGAAAGUGGACGUAUACGGUGUGACGCCUGCCCGGUGCCGGAAGGUUAAUUGAUGGGGUUAUCCGUAAGGAGAAGCUCUUGAUCGAAGCCCCGGUAAACGGCGGCCGUAACUAUAACGGUCCUAAGGUAGCGAAAUUCCUUGUCGGGUAAGUUCCGACCUGCACGAAUGGCGUAAUGAUGGCCAGGCUGUCUCCACCCGAGACUCAGUGAAAUUGAACUCGCUGUGAAGAUGCAGUGUACCCGCGGCAAGACGGAAAGACCCCGUGAACCUUUACUAUAGCUUGACACUGAACAUUGAGCCUUGAUGUGUAGGAUAGGUGGGAGGCUUUGAAGCGUGGACGCCAGUCUGCGUGGAGCCAACCUUGAAAUACCACCCUUUAAUGUUUGAUGUUCUAACGUUGGCCCCUGACCGGGGUUGCGGACAGUGUCUGGUGGGUAGUUUGACUGGGGCGGUCUCCUCCCAAAGCGUAACGGAGGAGCACGAAGGUUAGCUAAUCCUGGUCGGACAUCAGGAGGUUAGUGCAAUGGCAUAAGCUAGCUUGACUGCGAGCGUGACGGCGCGAGCAGGUGCGAAAGCAGGUCAUAGUGAUCCGGUGGUUCUGAAUGGAAGGGCCAUCGCUCAACGGAUAAAAGGUACUCCGGGGAUAACAGGCUGAUACCGCCCAAGAGUUCAUAUCGACGGCGGUGUUUGGCACCUCGAUGUCGGCUCAUCACAUCCUGGGGCUGAAGUAGGUCCCAAGGGUAUGGCUGUUCGCCAUUUAAAGUGGUACGCGAGCUGGGUUUAGAACGUCGUGAGACAGUUCGGUCCCUAUCUGCCGUGGGCGCUGGAGAAUUGAGGGGGGCUGCUCCUAGUACGAGAGGACCGGAGUGGACGCAUCACUGGUGUUCGGGUUGUCAUGCCAAUGGCACUGCCCGGUAGCUAAAUGCGGAAGAGAUAAGUGCUGAAAGCAUCUAAGCACGAAACUUGCCCCGAGAUGAGUUCUCCCUGAGACUUUAAGUCUCCUGAAGGAACGUUAAAGACGAUGACGUUGAUAGGCCGGGUGUGUAAGCGCAGCGAUGCGUUGAGCUAACCGGUACUAAUGAACCGUGAGGCUUAACCUU
rnacentral:rRNA from 1 species